CGCACAUUGCGCCUUCUGGUAUUCCGGGAGGCAUGCCUGUUUGAGCGUCAGCAAAACCCUUCUGUAGAAAUUUUAUUGUUUCCUCAGGUGUUGGGCUUCUGGAGGAUGGGUCUAACCACCCGCUCCGGCCUUAAUAUUGCUGCACGACCGCAAGCUAUUCUUGUUAGGUUAAUGGAGUGGUAAUACAAUUUCCAUGCAACUGACUGAACUGCUGGUGGCGUUAAAUCUGAUGUUGCCUCACCGCAACUGAAGUUUGACCUCAAAUCAGACAAGGAUACCCGCUGAACUUAA
rnacentral:misc_RNA from 1 species